CCACAAUCGAUUGGAGCUUCGAAAUCAAAUGUUUUCAAAUCUUUGUCUUCACAAUUUGGACGAAGAGCUGGAAGCGGAACCAGUGGGAUGGGCCUAGUAGAAUUGUGAAGAAAUCAUCGGCUUGUUUGCUCAAAAUAACACCCACUUCUCAGAAAAUGAUGAUACUGGUGAAAACCAAAUCUUUGCCAAGGCAGUGACUAUUCGAGACGACGAUGACGAAGAUGCAUUCAAAUCUUGUCAUGACAACGUGCAUCCACGAUUUCGAAGCGUACCCUGCCGAUCUCGUUGCCCCUUGCGAACGCAUAGGCACUGGCGAAACGCUAAAGUCGGUGUCGUUCCCCGAAGAGGAUGAAGUACUAAAAAUUGAUCCAAAUUCGGACGAAAUGUUGUCACCAAACAAACCGUCGGGAGACAAGGCUAAUCCUCGACCACAAUUCCACCACCGGCGUGCACGAAACUAAUGAUCAGAAGUAACAAAGCCAGUUUAAAAAUGUGUGUCCGAUAAUAAAGCCUUUAGAAAUUUAA